rnacentral:rRNA from 1 species
CGGCGGACGGGUGAGUAACACGUGGGUAACCUACCUAUAAGACUGGGACAACUUUGGGAAACCGGAGCUAAUACCGGAUAAGAUAUCGAACCGCAUGGUUCGAUAGUGAAAGAUGGUUUUGCUAUCACUUAUAGAUGGACCCGCGCCGUAUUAGCUAGUUGGUGAGGUAACGGCUCACCAAGGCAACGAUACGUAGCCGACCUGAGAGGGUGAUCGGCCACACUGGAACUGAGACACGGUCCAGACUCCUACGGGAGGCAGCAGCC